UCGCCUGUUUAUCAAAAACAUAGCCUUUAGCAAAUAAAGUAUUAAAGGUGCCGCCUGCCCAGUGACUCAUUUAACGGCCGCGGGAUCCUCCACCGUGCAAAGGUAGCAUAAUCACUUGUCCCCUAAAUAGAGACUAGUAUGAAUGGCCUAAUGAAGAUUUACCUGUCUCUUAUAGUUAAUCUAUUAAACUGAUCUUUCAGUACAAAAGCUGAAAUAAAAACACAAGACGAAAAGACCCUGUGGAACUUCAAGCCAAAAAUCAACACAAUGAUAACUUAGCUUUUAGUUGGGGCAACUUUGGAAAAAAACCAAACUUCCAAUAUUUAAACCAAGACAGACAUGCCUAAGACACCCACUACAGACCCAGUCAUACUGAUCAAAGAAAUAAGCUACCCCAGGGAUAACAGCGCCAUCCCCUCUUAGAGCCCCAAUCGACGAGCGGGGUUUACGACCUCGAUGUUGGAUCAGGGCACCCAAGCAGUGCAGCAGCUGCUAAAGGUUUGUUUGUUCAACAAUUAAUGCCCUACGUGAUCUGAGUUCAGACCGGA
rnacentral:rRNA from 1 species